CCUACGGGAGGCAGCAGUGAGGAAUAUUGGUCAAUGGGCGGGAGCCUGAACCAGCCAAGUCGCGUGAGGGAAGACGGUCCUAUGGAUUGUAAAACUCUUUAGGCGGGGAGCAAUGCCGGGCACGCGUGCCCGGAGGGAGAGUACCCGCAGAAUAAGCAUCGGCUAACUCCGUGCCAGCAGCCGCGGUAAUACGGAGGAUGCGAGCGUUAUCCGGAUUUAUGGGGUUUAAAGGGUGCGUAGGCGGAUUUUUAAGUCAGCGGUAAAAUGUCCGGGCUCAACCCGGGCCGGCCGUUGAAACUGGGGAUCUUGAGUGGGCGAGAAGUAUGCGGAAUGCGUGGUGUAGCGGUGAAAUGCAUAGAUAGCACGCAGAACUCCGAUUGCGAUGGCAGCAUACCGGCGCCCGACUGACGCUGAGGCACGAAAGCGUGGGGAUCGAACAGGAUUAGAUACCCCGGUAGUC
rnacentral:rRNA from 1 species